rnacentral:rRNA from 1 species
UACGUAGGGGGCAAGCGUUGUCCGGAAUCAUUGGGCGUAAAGAGCGUGUAGGCGGUCCGGUCAGUCGGUUGUGAAAGUCAAGGGCUCAACCCUUGAAUGCCGGCCGAUACUGCCGGGCUAGAGUCCGGAAGAGGAGAGUGGAAUUCCCGGUGUAGCGGUGAAAUGCGCAGAUAUCGGGAAGAACACCCGUGGCGAAGGCGGCUCUCUGGGACGGUACUGACGCUGAGACGCGAAAGCGUGGGGAGCGAACAGG